rnacentral:rRNA from 1 species
GAUGAACGCUGGCGGCGUGCCUAAUACAUGCAAGUCGAGCGAACGGACGAGAAGCUUGCUUCUCUGAUGUUAGCGGCGGACGGGUGAGUAACACGUGGAUAACCUACCUAUAAGACUGGGAUAACUUCGGGAAACCGGAGCUAAUACCGGAUAAUAUUUUGAACCGCAUGGUUCAAAAGUGAAAGACGGUCUUGCUGUCACUUAUAGAUGGAUCCGCGCUGCAUUAGCUAGUUGGUAAGGUAACGGCUUACCAAGGCAACGAUGCAUAGCCGACCUGAGAGGGUGACCGGCCACACUGGAACUGAGACACGGUCCAGACUCCUACGGGAGGCAGCAGUAGGGAAUCUUCCGCAAUGGGCGAAAGCCUGACGGAGCAACGACGCGUGAGUGAUGAAGGUCUUCGGAUCGUAAAACUCUGUUAUCAGGGAAGAACAUAUGUGUAAGUAACUGUGCACAUCUUGACGGUACCUAAUCAGAAAGCCACGGCUAACUACGUG